UACGUAGGGUGCAAGCGUUGUCCGGAAUUAUUGGGCGUAAAGAGCUCGUAGGCGGUUUGUCGCGUCUGCUGUGAAAACCCGAGGCUCAACCUCGGGCCUGCAGUGGGUACGGGCAGACUAGAGUGCGGUAGGGGAGAUUGGAAUUCCUGGUGUAGCGGUGGAAUGCGCAGAUAUCAGGAGGAACACCGAUGGCGAAGGCAGAUCUCUGGGCCGUAACUGACGCUGAGGCGCGAAAGCCAGGGGAGCGAACGGG
rnacentral:rRNA from 1 species